rnacentral:lncRNA from 1 species
UGAGAUGAGAAUAGGUCGGGAAUCACCCUCCCCUACUGAUGUUUUACAAUACAUUGGCACUACUACUAGAAUCUGAGGGCCUGACUUGGUUACUUGUUCUAUCAUCUUUCCCUUAGCUUAAGGCCAUCAUUCUAUGUCUUGGAACCACUUAAUAAACAUCUCUAUACUAGAUUGCCACCACUUCACUCUAGAAUCUGGGGUAUGAAAAUAAACAUAAUUGGUAAACUCACUCUGAAUGACUAUGCCCGAUAAUGUAAAACUUGUUGCUAGUACUUUCUUAUGAGAUACAACUUUUAGCUUUCUAUAGCCCCAAC